UACGUAGGGUGCAAGCGUUAAUCGGAAUUACUGGGCGUAAAGCGUGCGCAGGCGGUUCGGAAAGAAAGAUGUGAAAUCCCAGAGCUUAACUUUGGAACUGCAUUUUUAACUACCGAGCUAGAGUGUGUCAGAGGGAGGUGGAAUUCCGCGUGUAGCAGUGAAAUGCGUAGAUAUGCGGAGGAACACCGAUGGCGAAGGCAGCCUCCUGGGAUAACACUGACGCUCAUGCACGAAAGCGUGGGGGAGCAAACAGGAUUAGAUACCCUGGUAGUCCACGCCCUAAACGAUGUCAACUAGCUGUUGGGGCCUUCGGGCCUUGGUAGCGCAGCUAACGCGUGAAGUUGACCGCCUGGGGAGUACGGUCGCAAGAUUAAAACUCAA
rnacentral:rRNA from 1 species